UGUUUCAAUCGGACUGUUAUUCUUACUCAUCAUCACGGCAAGACAAUAAAGGUUGCAGCUCAAGAGAGACCACGGUCACGGCAACCAAAGUUGAACAAGGUGGACAUUUCAGAAUUGAGAAAAGUUCCAGUGGUGUGUGAGUUUCCUGACGUAUUUCCCGAAGAACUACCAGGCAUGCCACCAGACCUGGAAAUAGAGUUAAGCAUUGAACUAGCACCUGGCACCACCCCCAUUUACAAGAAACCUUAUAGAAUGGCACCCUCCGAGUUGGUAGAAUUAAAGAAGCAAAUAAAAGAAUUACUGGACAAAGGAUUUAUACGAGCCAGCUCCUCACCUUGGGGUUCACCAGUAUUAUUUGCCAAGAAAAAGGAUGGGACACUGAGAUUGUGUAUAGACUAUCGAGAACUAAACAUGGUCACCAUCAAAAACAAAUAUCCGAUGCCCCGGAUAAAUGAUUUAUUUGACCAGCUCGCACAAGCCAAG
rnacentral:rRNA from 1 species